GUGUCCUAGUAUUAGGCCUGUGUUGUGUGUAUGUAAAAUUAUGAUAAUGGUUUCCCUUGAAGCAUGUCUGGUAGAUGCGUUUUUGCUACAAGAUGGGAUUAAGCUGGAGAGCAACUUUGUUGUGGAGGAUUAAAGAGGUGAGGGCUGAGAAGAUCGACACGCUUCACAGAGGCGUGAGGAUGACAGACAAUGGACAUAAGUUCAUUACUGAAGAUACUUACAAGCACUGGACUCGCAGUAGUUCUCUUCAAAAUUUCAUUUCAGACUUUGGAAAAUUUCCAAUAAGUUAUUAUGUUUUAAAAUCAGGUAUUCAUGUACUGCCAUUUCCUUUGGAUUGUAUUUUGCUGAUAUGACAACAUCAUGUGGGUGUGUAAAAAACAAACAAAAGUAGAAUACGAAUGUCAUAUCUUUUCUACUUCUCAUUUAUGCUAAUCUUUCUUACAAAUGAAAUGGUACAAAUACCAUAUAAAACUGGUAUGAGUUAUGCUUGUUUUAUUAUUGGUUUUUAUUAGCCGAUUAUCUUCUCAGUACUUGCAACCAAGGAUUUAGUUGUUACUUUAUGGAGUUCUUCUACGUGGAGGUGACUUGAAUAAUGUAUACGGGAAUGUUAUCUUAGGCAGGCACUACUUGCUUGCUUCUUGGAGACACCUUUGUCUUCUGAAUUAUUAGAAAUGUCUUUAGAUCACUCCUGAGAUGCUAUAAGAUGUACUUCAUCAUGUCUAGUUGUGUUAAAAAUAUCUAGCUUCCCUUCAGACUUUUAAGAUGUUCUUUCCUUAUUCUAGACCACGCUUUGCUUCUCUUUAAUGUCAAUUAUGUGAUUCUAAAAAGAGAAUGGAAAGGUCAGUAUUUUAGUCUUACCUAUGUCAUGUAGUAUUUGUUUUCUUUCCCCAACUUACUGUGCAUCCAUAUUUUCUAUUCUCCUCCUUAUAUUCAGUAAAUAAGAUUGAAGUGAUAGAAUUGUUUCUGAUGCAAUCACUGAACUUUUUCUUUGAAGCUUUUAAUGUUCCUUGCUAGUUGUAACUCAUUUUGUAUUUUACUCUUUGGCAUCUUAUCCUUACAGACUGUGUUUCACCCUAAAUCAUUCUAAGUCUUAUGUCUGUGUGAUUCCUCUCUGAUUUUUAGGUUUGUUAGAGUUUUGUGAAAGUUGCAGGGCAAACUGAAAGGGAUUUGGGAACAAUGUACAAUAUAAAGAUUUAC
rnacentral:lncRNA from 7 species